UUACGGGAGGCAGCAGUGAGGAAUAUUGGUCAAUGGGAGCAAUCCUGAACCAGCAAUGCCGCGUGUGGGAUGACAGGGCUCAGCCUUGUAAACCACUGUCGGAUGGGACGAGAAGGUUCUUUUAGGACCCGGGACGGUACCAUCAAAGGAAGGGUCGGCUAACUACGUGCCAGCAGCCGCGGUAAUACGUAGGACCCAAGCGUUGUCCGGAUUUACUGGGUAUAAAGGGUGCGCAGGCGGCCGUGUGCGUCAGAAGUGAAAUAUCCGGGCUUAACCCGGAGGGUGCUUUUGAUACGGCAUGGCUUGAGUCCGGGAGAGGAUGAUGGAAUUCCUGGUGUAGCGGUGGAAUGCGUAGAUAUCAGGAGGAACACCGGUGGCGAAGGCGGUCAUCUGGCUCGGAACUGACGCUCAGGCACGAAAGCGUGGGGAUCAAACAGGAUUAGAUACCCUGGUAGUCCACGCCCUAAACGAUGUAUGCUUGGUGUUGGGCCCAUUGGGGUUCAGUGCCGAAGGAAAUCUGGUAAGCAUACCACCUGGGGAGUACGAUCGCAAGGUUGAAACUCAAAUGAAUUGACGG
rnacentral:rRNA from 1 species